AUGAUUUCAGGCUGUGUCCUUGACCUUCUGAGAACAGAUCUGAGAGUGCACGGAUAUCAGAAGCAGCAGCCACUUAACACUAAGGAAAUGAGAUACAAGGAGCAUAUGACUCUGUACAAAAAAAAGGUUAGAGAAGAGUAUAAAGCUUGUUUGAAUUCUUCAGAAUUAGAAGGAAUCUGUAAACUGCCUUACACUGGCUUUAUGACCUUAGAGACCUUCCAGGUGAGCUGCUGUAUCUUGCUUCAUUUUACACAUAAGGAAUUUGAGUAAUUGAAGUGGCUUAUCCAAGUUUAAUAUUGAUAAGGGGUGGUCAGAGCCAUGAAUGUGAACUUGAGUCUCCCGUCAAUUCAGAGCACUUUGUGUUACAUGAUGAACACGUAAUACGACUGUCAUUGUUAAUCAGAAUUACCAUUUGUUGAAAAAAGUCACUAAGUAGUUUACAUACAUCCUUUCGUUAGAUUUUCAAAGCAACCCUUGACUUUUAUUGUGAUGUACCACUCUAUAGAUGAAAAAAGCUUGAUUCCGAGACAUUUUAGUUCAAGUUUUCCAAGGUCACGUAGUUAUCAAGUGGGAAAGCUGAUUUACAGUCACAAGGAUACUAAAGAACUUAUUUAUUAAAAUUUUAGAAUUUACAUGUCUCUGAAUUCGAAAAUUUAAAUAUUGCUUGUUUAAUUUGCAAAUUUCUAUUACCUAUAUAAACAAUGAUUGAAGUCCUAAAAAUCCAUUAUUCUGUGACAAUACUGCAUUGCAAACAUAACUUUAUCAGUCAUGUGAGGUCUGCAGGAAUGGAAAGCUGUUCUGAGUUAAUUCUGUGGGAAUACCAUUUCUAAAUUUACACAUGCUGCAGCUGAGUGAUUACAAGCAAGCCAGGCACAGAACGACACUCUCUCCCUCAUCAAAAGAACUCGACAAACUUCUAGCAUAUGGAAGCAUUUCUGCACUAUGAGUUAUUCUGAGAGAGGGAGACACAUGAUUUAGAAGUACUGUCAAAAAUAUGCAUUUCCAAAUGCUUGUAAUAUAACAAAAUAUAUAGUAUCGAAAAUUUGCCCCUCCCCCACUUCC
rnacentral:lncRNA from 1 species